GGCCAGCAUGGCGUAGUGGUUUGAGUGUUGGACUAUGAUUCUGGAGACCAGUGUUCAAUUCCCAGCACUUGGUCU
rnacentral:tRNA from 1 species